rnacentral:lncRNA from 1 species
UUCCUUCUUCCUUUUCUUCUUCCUUCUUUCUUCUUCUUUUUUUUAAACGCAGGCUCCGUGCCCAGCAUGGAGCUUGCACUCAGGACCCUGAGAUCAAGACCUGAGCUGAGAGCGAGGCGGACGCCUAACCGUUGACGGAGCCACCCAGGCGCCCCUGUGAUUGUAAAUGUUUUUAAACACGAGUCUGUGGAUGCCAGGACAGAGGGUGGGAUUUUCACUUACUAGAUUUGCACAGGGAGUUCUUCAAACCUUUGUCUGCAGAUACUGCAAACCUGGUUCUGCAGAUACUGUCUCGCCUGCCUCCCUGACAGAGGUCAGACCCCUGAGCAAACACUGGACCCACACCUUCAGAUAGAAUUGACUGCAGACGCUAUGUUUAGGUUCCAUCUCCUGCCAUUAAUAAUCCCUCACAUCUGUAUAAAGCCCUGGAAAAGAGCUUAUAAAUCAUCCCGAGGGUGGCCAGUCCGUAAGUUUUGUUUGCCAUGCUUCACUCUCUGCAGAGUGAUCUCUGUGACACCUGCCUCCUGCCACAUGUGUAGCCUGCAGUCUUUGUGGGGAGGGGUUAAGAGGUGGCCUUGAGGCGCUAGCAGAAUCCUUGAGCCACCUGGAUAGCUUUUUGAGAACAGGAUUCAGAGCUGUUGAGGUGCCCUCUUCAACAUCCUGCAUUAUCUGCAGGAGCCCUUUGCUUGGAGAUCUUGCUGCUUUCAGACAUGGGAUCUGUUUCUUCAGAAUCGGCCAGGCUAGGGAGCUUGGCUCCAUGCCUGCUGAAUAACACGUAGAUAACCAUGAACACUUUGCAGGUUGCGUUAAGCUAAGGUGAUUCCCAGUGGAUUGAGUUUUGCCGACUUGCUCUUUGCCUCCAUGAUCAUGAAAGCAGGUUGUGUGCUGACUCUUCCCAGGUGUGCCCAGGUGUGCCUGUCCCAGCCUCUCCCUUUGCCCCUAGCCACGUCACAUGUGGUUAAGUCCACACACCACUCCUCUGCUCCCACCCCCGACUUGUCGUCCCCAGGCAGAGACUCUCCUGUGUCAGGCAGUGGCUCUUCUGAGCCAGUGAUCAAGCCUGAAGCCCCAGGGUGCCUCUGAAGCCUGUCUGGCUGGAGCGGGUUGUCCUCCUCACCCCCACUCAUGCCACUUUGGGCCACUGUCUCCUGGAAGACUGACUGCCCUUACUUCUUACUGGUCUCACGCCCUGCCCUGCCCACCAUCCAUACUGCAGCCAGAGUGGUCUUCUGUCUGUUAAAGACUUACUCAUUUGAGAGAGCAUGUGAGAGAGCAUGAACGGGAGAUGCAGAGGGAGAGGGAGAGGGAGAGAGAGAAUCUCAAGCACACUCCCCACUGAGUGCAGAGCCAUACAUAGAGCCUCAUCUUGCCACCCUGAUACCAUAACCUGAGCCAAAACCAAGAGUUGGAUGCUUCCUCAACUGAGCCACCCAGGCGCCCCCAGAGGGGUCUUCUUGAGACAGAAACAGUAACUUAAAGCCCCUGGAUGCUCUUCCUUCACCCUUAGCAUAAAACCCAGCUGCCUCCCCUGGCUGCCUGUGGGUCAUCCUCUCUGACCAUAGCUGCCUGCUCUUGACACCAGCCACCCUGUCCUUGACCUGCCCUUGACCUCUGCCCAGAGUCCUGUUUUACCUUUGGGCCUGAAAGGCUUGCCCUCCAGCUGAUCCUUCUGGGCUUCCAUGUCAUCUAGGAGGUCCCCUCUUGGACCCUCUCUACUUUUUGGCCUCCCUAUGUGAGCUCUAGAGGGGCAGGAGGAGGACUUUACUGCCAAUGUCUGCAUCCUCCCCGUGGCUGGCAUGUGGGAGGCAGUCAAACAAACGCUUGCCGAAGGAGCAAAUAAAUGCAGGCCGCAUGCCUCUCUGGGCCUGUAAUGGAACCAUUUGUUCCAAUUAGCCGAAGACUAAUAAAGCUAGUUUGGCUUUUGUAACUGGGCAUCUUUGAAAGCAUGACACCUGUUUAUAUUGGUAGGUCCUCCUCCCACUCAGUAGGCUUCAGAAGGUAAAAACAGGAGAAAUUGUGAUAAGAAAACAUACAAUUUUGGGUUUUCAUUAUAGUUCUUGGUAGCUUUUUCCCCCUUCUGUUAGCUUCCUUUUUAUUGUGGGGCAUCCGGUAUAGAGCUUAGGAAGAAGGAGCAUGGUCCCGGGGCUCCAGGAGGUAGCAGAGGGGCUGGCUGUGCCGGAGGGAGCCGUGAGGUGCAUCCUGAGUCCCCAAGGAAGAAGACAGGAACCAUGAGGAAGGGAGCCGGAAUAGACCUGGCUCUGAAGCCGUUGAAAGGAAACACACUUUAUUGGUUGAGGCAGGGCAGCUAGCCUGAGCAGAGACACCCAUAGACACCCACUCCGGAGGAUUCUCUGUGUCUCCUUUUCAUGGAGUCUUUCAGUGGCGCCUGAGCCGGUCUCUCAAGACAGCAGCCACAUGCAUCCCCCAGAGUCCAGUGCUCCUGCCUGGACACAAGGGGUUCAGGGCCAUCAGGGACUCAUCUGUGGACUCUCUGGGUUUCUUCUGUGCCAGACUCCAGGAGGUUGGUGGGUGGCAGUGAGAUUGGCAGGUGGCUAAACGGCUGCCAACUUCCUGGGUCAGCUGGGUGUGGCCUGGAGGCCUGAUGGUAGGGGUGGGGGUGAGGUUCCACUCCUGGACUCCACCGGCCACCCCGGGCCUCUGAGCAGAGGGGACAGUGGGCUGGGUAGUGCUGGACAGGUCGGGGAGGGGCCAGUGGCCCCUGGAAUUGGGUCUAUUAAUGGAAUAUGAAGUUUGUUAGAUGGCUGGGGAAAGACUAAAUUCAGAACACAUCCCAGGUCCAGGUAAGGGGCUAAUACCUGGUAAAAUGCUGGUUGUGUCACACUGUCCCCUUCUCCUAGGAGAUUGCCGAAGAUGGCGGAAGCUCACCAAGCCGUGGCCUUCCAGUUCACUGUCACCCCAGACGGUAUCGACCUGCGGCUGAGCCAUGAAGCUCUUAAGCAAAUCUAUCUGUCUGGACUACAUUCCUGGAAGAAGAAGUUCAUCAGAUUCAAGGUUUGUGGAUCCUUGUUUAAAUCUAUGUGGUGCUCAGCUAGCACCUGAGAAUGCGUCUGGGUGCUGGUGCAGGAUGGGUGUGUCAGUGCUGACGGGCACGGGGUUGGUACUUCAUCGGGACUUAUGAAACACUUCCACAUGUACUGGCUCACUGAGUUCUUUUACUUUUAUUUAUGUAUUUAUUUUAAAGAUUGUAUUUAUUUACUCAUGAGAGACACACAGAGAGCCAGAGACAUAGGCAUACGGAGAAGCAGGUUCCAUGUGGGGAGUCCAGUGCGGGACUUGAUCCCAGGACCCUGGAAUCACAACCUGAGCCGAAAACAGACGUUCAACC